CGUCUAUAUACGUAUAGCAUAUCAAUAAGCGGAGGAAAAGAAACUAACUAGGAUUCCCUCAGUAACGGCGAGUGAAGCGGGAAGAGCUCAAAUUUGAAAUCUUCAAGGUUCUACCUUGACGAAUUGUAGUUUAAAGAAGUGUUUUCUGUUGGAGUUUUGGUAAAAGUUCUUUGGAAUAGGACAUCAUAGAGGGUGAGAAUCCCGUAUUUGACCAUUAUUUCCAACUUUGUGAUACACUUUCAAAGAGUCGGAUUGUUUGGGAAUGCAGUCCAAAAUGGGUGGUAAAUUUCAUCUAAAGCUAAAUACUGGCGAGAGACCGAUAGCGAACAAGUACCGUGAGGGAAAGAUGAAAAGAACUUUGAAAAGAGAGUUAAACAGUACGUGAAAUUGUCAAAAGGGAAGCGUUUGACACCAGUGUUGUUUUCUCGAAAAUCAAUUAAAAAUGGCGGGAUUUUGUGUUGUAUUGACUUUAUCAGCUUUCUGCACUUUUUUCCUGUCUUUUUUAAUGCACUUUUCGUUUAACAAGUCAACAUCAAUUUCUUUUGUUGUAAAAGGGUCAUUGGAAGGUGGCUUUCUUUUCGGAGAAAGUGUUUAUAGCCUUUGACUUCUGCAAUCGGAGAGAUUGAGGUCUGCAGCGUAGAUCCUUCGGGGUUAGAUACAUUUGUGCUAAGCUAUAGCCUUGUAUAGACAACUUGUUGACUAUGCUCAGUCAUGUAGCUUACUCGCUUAUGCUAUUUUACCUACGCUUAGGAUGUUGACGAUCAGCUGAGCGCG
rnacentral:rRNA from 1 species